CCCUUAGAUGUUCUGGGCCGCACACGCGCUACACUGAAGGAGGCAGCGUGUACUCCUGGAUCGAAAGAUUUGGGUAACCCGCGAAUCUCCUUCGUGCUAGGGAUUGAGGUUUGCAAUUAUCCUUCAUGAACGAGGAAUUCCCAGUAAGUGCAAGUCAUAAGCUUGCGCUGACUACGUCCCUGCCCUUUGUACACACCGCCCGUCGCUACUACCGAUUGAAUGAUUUAGUGAGGACUUCGGACUGAGACCGAUGCGGCUUUCGGGCUGCGUCGGUAUUCUGGAAAGAUGUCCAAACUGUAUCAUUUAGAGGAAGUAAAANUCGUAACA
rnacentral:rRNA from 1 species